GUCUACGGCCGUGUCACCCUGAACACGCCCGAUCUUGUGUGAUCUCGGAAACUAAGCAGGGUCGGGCCACCUAGGAGACCACCUAGGAAGACCGGGUGCUGUAGGCG
rnacentral:rRNA from 1 species